rnacentral:rRNA from 1 species
CACGUAGGUGGCAAGCGUUGUCCGGAUUUACUGGGCGUAAAGAGCGCGCAGGCGGUCGGCCAAGUCGGAUGUGAAAGCCCCCGGCCCAACUGGGGAGGGUCAUUCGAUACUGGUCGACUCGAAGGCAGGAGAGGGAAGCGGAAUUCCCGGUGUAGUGGUGAAAUGCGUAGAUAUCGGGAGGAACACCAGUGGCGAAGGCGGCGAGCUGGUCCAUUACUGACGCUGAGGCGCGACAGCGUGGGGAGCAAACAGG